rnacentral:rRNA from 2 species
UUCGCAAUGCCCGAAAGGGUGACGAUGCGACGCCGCGUGAGCGAAGAAGGCCCUAGGGUUGUAAAGCUCUGUCGAGGGUUAUGAAAUAUAGAUGGGUUAAUACCCCAUUUAUUUGACAAAAGCCCAAAAGGAAGCCACGGCUAACUCUGUGCCAGCAGCCGCGGUAAUACAGAGGUGGCGAGCGUUGUUCGGUAUUAUUGGGCGUAAAGAGCACGUAGGUGGUUUUGUAAGUCAGGUGUGAAAGCCUUCUGUUCAAAGGAAGAACGGCAUCUGAAACUGCAGAUCUUGAGUGUAGGAGGGGAGAGUGGAACUUCUGGUGGAGCGGUGAAAUGCGUAGAUAUCAGAAGGAACGCCGGCGGCGAAAGCGAUUCUCUGGCCUAUUACUGACACUCAGUGUGCGAAAGCUAGGGGAGCAAACGGGAUUAGAUACCCCGGUAGUCCUAGCCGUAAACGAUGGGCACUAAGUAGAGGGGUUUU